rnacentral:tRNA from 1 species
GCCCGGGUGGCGAAAUUGGUAGACGCACUAGCUUCAGGUGCUAGCGCCUUCACCGGCGUGCUGGUUCGAGUCCAGUCCCGGGCA